rnacentral:rRNA from 1 species
AACGAACGCUGGCGGCAGGCUUAACACAUGCAAGUCGAGCGCCCCGCAAGGGGAGCGGCAGACGGGUGAGUAACGCGUGGGAAUCUACCCAUCUCUACGGAAUAACGCAUGGAAACGUGUGCUAAUACCGUAUACGUACUUCGGGAGAAAGAUUUAUCGGAGAUGGAUGAGCCCGCGUUGGAUUAGCUAGUUGGUGGGGUAAAGGCCUACCAAGGCGACGAUCCAUAGCUGGUCUGAGAGGAUGAUCAGCCACACUGGGACUGAGACACGGCCCAGACUCCUACGGGAGGCAGCAGUGGGGAACAUUGGACAAUGGGCGCAAGCCUGAUCCAGCCAUGCCGCGUGAGUGAUGAAGGCCCUAGGGUUGUAAAGCUCUUUCGCCGGUGAAGAUAAUGACGGUAACCGGAGAAGAAGCCCCGGCUAACUUCGUGCCAGCCGCCGCAGUAAUAC